AUCCGGUGAAAUUUUAAUACCUGUGAAGAUGCAGGUUACCCGCGACAAGACGGAAAGACCCCAUGGAGCUUUACUGCAGCUUGAUAUUGAAUUUGGGUACGAUCUGUACAGGAUAGGUGGGAGCCGUAGAACUUUGAGCGCCAGCUUGAAGGGAGGCAUCCUUGGGAUACCACCCUGAUCGUAUCUAGGUUCUAACUUGGUACCGUGAUCCGGUACGAGGACAGUGUCAGGUGGGCAGUUUGACUGGGGCGGUCGCCUCCUAAAGAGUAACGGAGGCGCCCCAAGGUUCCCUCAGAAUGGUUGGAAAUCAUUCGAAGAGUGCAAAGGCAGAAGG
rnacentral:rRNA from 1 species